ACGAACGCCGGCGGCGUGCUUAACACAUGCAAGUCGAACGGAAAGGCCCUGCUUUUGUGGGGUGCUCGAGUGGCGAACGGGUGAGUAACACGUGAGUAACCUGCCCUUGACUUUGGGAUAACUUCAGGAAACUGGGGCUAAUACCGGAUAGGAGCUCCUGCUGCAUGGUGGGGGUUGGAAAGUUUCGGCGGUUGGGGAUGGACUCGCGGCUUAUCAGCUUGUUGGUGGGGUAGUGGCUUACCAAGGCUUUGACGGGUAGCCGGCCUGAGAGGGUGACCGGCCACAUUGGGGCUGAGAUACGGCCCAGACUCCUACGGGAGGCAGCAGUGGGGAAUAUUGCACAAUGGGCGGAAGCCUGAUGCAGCAACGCCGCGUGCGGGAUGACGGCCUUCGGGUUGUAAACCGCUUUCGCCUGUGACGAAGCGUGAGUGACGGUAAUGGGUAAAGAAGCACCGGCUAACUACGUGCCAGCAGCCGCGGUGAUACGUAGGGUGCGAGCGUUGUCCGGAUUUAUUGGGCGUAAAGGGCUCGUAGGUGGUUGAUCGCGUCGGAAGUGUAAUCUUGGGGCUUAACCCUGAGCGUGCUUUCGAUACGGGUUGACUUGAGGAAGGUAGGGGAGAAUGGAAUUCCUGGUGGAGCGGUGGAAUGCGCAGAUAUCAGGAGGAACACCAGUGGCGAAGGCGGUUCUCUGGGCCUUUCCUGACGCUGAGGAGGGAAAGCGUGGGGAGCGAACAGGCUAGGAUACCCUGGUAGUCCACGCUGUAAACGGUGGGUACUAGGUGUGGGGUCCAUUCCACGGGUUCCGUGCCGUAGCUAACGCUUUAAGUACCCCGCCUGGGGAGUACGGCCGCAAGGCUAAAACUCAAAGGAAUUGACGGGGCCCCGCACAAGCGGCGGAGCAUGCGGAUUAAUUCGAUGCAACGCGUAGAACCUUACCUGGGUUUGACAUGGAUCGGGAGUGCUCAGAGAUGGGUGUGCCUCUUUUGGGGUCGGUUCACAGGUGGUGCAUGGCUGUCGUCAGCUCGUGUCGUGAGAUGUUGGGUUAAGUCCCGCAACGAGCGCAACCCUUGUUCACUGUUGCCAGCACGUUAUGGUGGGGACUCAGUGGAGACCGCCGGGGUCAACUCGGAGGAAGGUGGGGAUGACGUCAAGUCAUCAUGCCCCUUAUGUCCAGGGCUUCACGCAUGCUACAAUGGCUGGUACAGAGAGUGGCGAGCCUGUGAGGGUGAGCGAAUCUCGGAAAGCCGGUCUCAGUUCGGAUUGGGGUCUGCAACUCGACCUCAUGAAGUCGGAGUCGCUAGUAAUCGCAGAUCAGCAACGCUGCGGUGAAUACGUUCCCGGGGCUUGUACACACCGCCCGUCAAGUCAUGAAAGUUGGUAACACCCGAAGCCGGUGGCCUAACCGUUGUGGGGGAGCCGUCGAAGGUGGG
rnacentral:rRNA from 1 species